GACGAAGGGGGGCUAGCGUUGUUCGGAAUUACUGGGCGUAAAGCGCGUGUAGGCGGUUGCCCAAGUCGGGCGUGAAAGCCUUGAGCUCAACUCAAGAAAUGCACUCGGUACUGGGUGACUAGAGGACCGGAGAGGAUAGUGGAAUUCCCAGUGUAGUGGUGAAAUACGUAGAGAUUGGGAAGAACACCAGUGGCGAAGGCGGCUAUCUGGACGGUUUCUGACGCUAAGACGCGAAAGCGUGGGGAGCAAACAGG
rnacentral:rRNA from 1 species